rnacentral:rRNA from 1 species
GGUUAAGCGACUAAGCGUACACGGUGGAUGCCCUGGCAGUCAGAGGCGAUGAAGGACGUGCUAAUCUGCGAUAAGCGUCGGUAAGGUGAUAUGAACCGUUAUAACCGGCGAUUUCCGAAUGGGGAAACCCAGUGUGAUUCGUCACACUAUCAUUAACUGAAUCCAUAGGUUAAUGAGGCGAACCGGGGGAACUGAAACAUCUAAGUACCCCGAGGAAAAGAAAUCAACCGAGAUUCCCCCAGUAGCGGCGAGCGAACGGGGAGCAGCCCAGAGCCUGAAUCAGUGUGUGUGUUAGUGGAAGCGUCUGGAAAGGCGUGCGAUACAGGGUGACAGCCCCGUACACAAAAAUGCACAUACUGUGAGCUCGAUGAGUAGGGCGGGACACGUGGUAUCCUGUCUGAAUAUGGGGGGACCAUCCUCCAAGGCUAAAUACUCCUGACUGACCGAUAGUGAACCAGUACCGUGAGGGAAAGGCGAAAAGAACCCCGGCGAGGGGAGUGAAAAAGAACCUGAAACCGUGUACGUACAAGCAGUGGGAGCACGCUUCGGCGUGUGACUGCGUACCUUUUGUAUAAUGGGUCAGCGACUUAUAUUCUGUAGCAAGGUUAACCGAAUAGGGGAGCCGAAGGGAAACCGAGUCUUAACUGGGCGUUAAGUUGCAGGGUAUAGACCCGAAACCCGGUGAUCUAGCCAUGGGCAGGUUGAAGGUUGGGUAACACUAACUGGAGGACCGAACCGACUAAUGUUGAAAAAUUAGCGGAUGACUUGUGGCUGGGGGUGAAAGGCCAAUCAAACCGGGAGAUAGCUGGUUCUCCCCGAAAGCUAUUUAGGUAGCGCCUCGUGAACUCAUCUCCGGGGGUAGAGCACUGUUUCGGCAAGGGGGUCAUCCCGACUUACCAACCCGAUGCAAACUGCGAAUACCGGAGAAUGUUAUCACGGGAGACACACGGCGGGUGCUAACGUCCGUCGUGAAGAGGGAAACAACCCAGACCGCCAGCUAAGGUCCCAAAGUCAUGGUUAAGUGGGAAACGAUGUGGGAAGGCCCAGACAGCCAGGAUGUUGGCUUAGAAGCAGCCAUCAUUUAAAGAAAGCGUAAUAGCUCACUGGUCGAGUCGGCCUGCGCGGAAGAUGUAACGGGGCUAAACCAUGCACCGAAGCUGCGGCAGCGACACU